GACGAACGCUGGCGGCGUGCUUAACACAUGCAAGUCGAACGGAAAGGCCCUGCUUUUGUGGGGUGCUCGAGUGGCGAACGGGUGAGUAACACGUGAGUAACCUGCCCUUGACUUUGGGAUAACUUCAGGAAACUGGGGCUAAUACCGGAUAGGAGCUCCUGCUGCAUGGUGGGGGUUGGAAAGUUUCGGCGGUUGGGGAUGGACUCGCGGCUUAUCAGCUUGUUGGUGGGGUAGUGGCUUACCAAGGCUUUGACGGGUAGCCGGCCUGAGAGGGUGACCGGCCACAUUGGGACUGAGGUACGGCCCCGACUCCUACGGGGGGCAGCAGUGGGGAAUAUUGCACAAUGGGCGGAAGCCUGAUGCAGCAACCCCGCGUGCGGGAUGACCGCCUUCCGGUUGUAAACCGCUUUCGCCUGUGACGAAGCGUGAGUGACGGUAAUGGGUAAAGAAGCACCGGCUAACUACGUG
rnacentral:rRNA from 1 species